rnacentral:rRNA from 1 species
GAUGAACGCUGGCGGCGUGCCUAAUACAUGCAAGUCGAGCGAACAGAUGAGGAUCUUGCUCCUCUGACGUUAGCGGCGGACGGAUGAGUAACACGUGGAUAACCUACCUAUAAGACUGGGAUAACUUCGGGAAACCGGAUCUAAUACCGGAUAAUAUAUUGAACCGCAUGGUUCAAUAGUGAAAGACGGUUUUGCUGUCCCUUAUAGAUGGAUCCGCGCUGCAUUAGCUAGUUGGUAAGGUAACGGCUUACCAAGGCAACGAUGCGUAGCCGAACUGAGAGGGUGAUCGGCCACACUGGAACUGAGACACGGUACAGACUCCUACGGGAGGCAGCAGUAGGGAAUAUUGGGCAAUGGGCGAAAGCAUGACGGAGCAAAGCCGCGUGAGUGAUGAAGGUCUUCGGAUCGUAAAACUCUGUUAUUAGGGAAGAACAAAAGUGUAAGAAACUAUGCACGUCUUGACGGUACCUAAACAGAAAGCCACGGCUAACUACGUG